rnacentral:pre_miRNA from 1 species
AGAGGGAUAGCUGGGUCAAAUGGUGGUUCCAUUCCCAGAUUUCCAAGGAAUCUCCAUACUGCUUUCCGUAUUGGCUGUACCAGUUUGCAAUCCUACCAGCAAU